UGCUGGAGUAGAAUUAACAGAUUUAGUGUUUAGCUGACAAAUCUACUAUAAAUCCAGACCAUAAUAAUAUGUGCUGCUCUAACUGAGCAGAGAUGGAUCCAAUACAAGGCCAAGUAAGUUUCUUCAAUACUCUGAACUGAACAGGCCAACAGAAGAACAUUUACUCUGAUGAUAUUAUAUUUCUUUAAGGAAUAGCAAAUUCAUCACAUUUGUUAAAGAUCAAGGAUUCAGGACUGUGUGCUUGAGCCCAAUUCACAGCAACUAAAGGACUAUCAAAUCUCAAGCCAAUUAAAGAAAGACAGCUAAGGAGGUGUGGAUUUUCCAGAACUAAUGAAUUGUACUGCCAACUCAUUAUAGCCCACAUGAGGAUGUUAUGUUAUGACAUACAGUCUGUUGCAAACGGACUCGGACUGCGAAUUGGAGGGAGUCCAUGCAAGAGAUGCCUUUUAUUAAUACUGACAGUAACACAAAUGAACAAUGGGGUAUGAAAAUCAGCAGUGCUUGCCAUUAGAGCAACGCAUGGAUGUGUUGCGUGAGCGGUGGAGGUGCUCCAUUUGCAAACCAAGAUGAAAUGAUGCAGAGAGGAUGUCAGCUGUUUGAAGGGAGACAGAGCUAGUACAUGGGUCACAAUAUAUAGAGGAGGUCCUCGUGAACUACAUCAGCUGACGACACAAUUUCAAUUUUCCACAUGAAAUGAAGCCUAAUGUUUCAUAGUAAACAUCAGUUCUUCUUGUGCAUGUACAUAUUGCUGCAUUUCACAUGUAAAAUGUCC